AAGAAAGUAAUGAAGGGCGGAUGGCGGAUGCCUAGGCUCACAGAGGCGAUGAAGGACGUGAUAAGCUGCGAUAAGCCGCGGGUAGGCGCAAAUAGCCCUUGAUCCGUGGAUUUCCGAAUGGGACAACCCGGCCGUCUGAAGGACGGUCACCCGCGCAUGAGCGUGGGAGCUAACCCGGGGAACUGAAACAUCUUAGUACCCGGAGGAA
rnacentral:rRNA from 1 species